rnacentral:rRNA from 1 species
AGGACGAACGCUGGCGGCGUGCUUAACACAUGCAAGUCGGGCGGAAAGGCCCUUCGGGGUACUCGAGCGGCGAACGGGUGAGUAACACGUGAGUAAUCUGCCCCUAGCUCUGGGAUAGCUCCGGGAAACCGGGAUUAAUACCGGAUACGACCACCUUAGACAUCUUUUGUGGUGGAAAGAAUUUCGGCUAGGGAUGAGCUCGCGGCCUAUCAGCUUGUUGGUGGGGUAACGGCCUACCAAGGCGACGACGGGUAGCCGGCCUGAGAGGGCGACCGGCCACACUGGGACUGAGACACGGCCCAGACUCCUACGGGAGGCAGCAGUGGGGAAUAUUGCGCAAUGGGCGAAAGCCUGACGCAGCGACGCCGCGUGGGGGAUGAAGGCCUUCGGGUUGUAAACCCUUUCAGCAGGGACGAAGCGAAGUGACGGUACCUGCAGAAGAAGCGCCGGCUAACUACGUGCCAGCAGCCGC